rnacentral:rRNA from 2 species
UCUCGGCAAAUUAUCCUCAUAAGUUUGACAAUAAGAGAAACCAUAUAAAAUUUAAAUUAGCCAUAAUUUAAAUAGUUAUAUAGUAUAAUAAAAUCGGAGGCCACGACUGUUUACUAAAAACACAAUUCAGAGCAAUGAUUAAGAUAAUAGUAUUCUGGAUGAAAUUUGCUCAAUGCCAUUAAUAUAAGAGAGGUAAUUUUAAAGUUACUAAUCGAAAAUCUGGUUAAUAGCGGUCUUAACUAUGAGGAUCCUAAGGUAGCAAAAUAAAUUGGCCAUUAAAUGUGGUCUUGUAUCAAUAAUGUAACGAUGGUCUCACUGUCUCUACAACUUGCUCAGUGAAAUUGAAUUGCGAGUGCAGAUGCUCGCUGUCUUCAGGGGGACGGGAAGACCCUAUGCAGCUUCUACUGA